rnacentral:rRNA from 1 species
UACGUAGGGAGCAAGCGUUGUCCGGAAUCAUUGGGCGUAAAGCGCGCGUAGGCGGCCCCGUAAGUCCGCUGUGAAAGUCAAAGGCUCAACCUUUGAAAGCCGGUGGAUACUGUGGGGCUAGAGUACGGAAGAGGCGAGUGGAAUUCCUGGUGUAGCGGUGGAAUGCGCAGAUAUCAGGAGGAACACCGGUGGCGAAGGCGGGUCUCUGGGCCGAUAUUGACGCUGAGGAGCGAAAGCGUGGGGAGCGAACAGG